rnacentral:rRNA from 1 species
AUGAAAAUAAGUGGAUGGAAAGAAAAUUUGUUAUCUGCUGGAGGAAAGGAAAUAUUGCUCAAAUCUGUUGUACAAGCUAUCCCAGCUUACGCCAUGUCCGUCUUUAAAAUUCCUAAAAAAUGUAAAAGAAUUAUUGACGCGAUGUCGCAAUUUUGGUGGGGUGACGAGGACAAUAAGAAGAGAAUGCAUUGGAUGGCAUAGUGGAAGAUGUGUGUACCAAAAAAUCAAGGAGGUAUGGGUUUUAGAGAUAUACAUUGUUUCAACCUGGCUUUGUUAGCCAAACAGGCAUGGCGCCUGAUUGAUAAUCCCGAGUCCUUAUGUGCAUCGAUCUUGAGGGCUAAAUAUUUCUCGAAAGGGAAUUUAAUGAAUGCAAAACGAAGAAAGGGCUCCUCUUUUACUUGGCAAAGUAUUAUGGCGGGAGUAAACUCGCUUAAAAAAUGGAUAUAUCUGGCGGGUUGGAAAUGGACAAAAUAUUGA